GACGAACGCUGGCGGCGUGCUUAACACAUGCAAGUCGAACGGAAAGGCCCUGCUUAUGUGGGGUGCUCGAGUGGCGAACGGGUGAGUAACACGUGAGUAAUCUGCCUUUGACUUUGGGACAACUUCAGGUAACUGGGGCUAAUACCGGAUAAGAGCUUCUGCUGCUUGGUGGGGGUCGGCAAGUGUCGGCGGUUGGGGAUGGACUCGCGGCUUAUCAGCUUGUUGGUGGGGUGGUGGCUUAGCAGGGCUUUGACAGGUAGCCGGCCUGAGAGGGGGACCGGCCACAUUGGGACUGGAAUGCGACCCAGACUCCUACGGGAGGCAGGAGAGGGGUGUGUUGCACAAUGGACUGAAGCCUAGCGCAGCCACGCCGCGUGCGGGAUGUCGGCCUGCGGGUUGUAAACCGCUUUCGCCUGUGACGAGGCGUGAGUGACGGUAAUGGGUGAAGAAGCACCGGCUAACUACGUG
rnacentral:rRNA from 1 species